rnacentral:rRNA from 1 species
GGGCCCGCACAAGCAGCGGAGCAUGUGGUUUAAUUCGAAGCAACGCGAAGAACCUUACCAGGUCUUGACAUCCGAUUAAAACCGGUGAAAGCCGGUGUGCCUUUGGCGAAUCGAGACAGGUGGUGCAUGGUUGUCGUCAGCUCGUGUCGUGAGAUGUUGGGUUAAGUCCCGCAACGAGCGCAACCCUUACGGAUAGUUGCCAGCAAGUGAAGUUGGGCACUCUAUCGGGACUGCCGUGGAUAACACGGAGGAAGGUGGGGACGAUGUCAAAUCAUCAUGCCCUUUAUGACCUGGGCUACACACGUGCUACAAUGGCUGUGACAAAGAGCAGCGAAGUCGUAAGGCGGAGCGAAUCUACAAAAAGCAGUCUCAGUUCGGAUUGUGGGCUGCAACCCGCCCACAUGAAGUUGGAGUUGCUAGUAAUCGCGAAUCAGCAUGUCG